rnacentral:rRNA from 1 species
CCCGCACAAGCGGUGGAGCAUGUGGUUUAAUUCGAUGCAACGCGAAGAACCUUACCUGGUCUUGACAUAUCUAGAAUCCUGCAGAGAUGCGGGAGUGCCUUCGGGAAUUAGAAUACAGGUGCUGCAUGGCUGUCGUCAGCUCGUGUCGUGAGAUGUUGGGUUAAGUCCCGCAACGAGCGCAACCCUUGUCCUUAGUUACCAGCGGGUUAAGCCGGGAACUCUAAGGAUACUGCCAGUGACAAACUGGAGGAAGGCGGGGACGACGUCAAGUCAUCAUGGCCCUUACGACCAGGGCUACACACGUGCUACAAUGGUAGGUACAGAGGGCAGCUACACAGCGAUGUGAUGCGAAUCUCAAAAAGCCUAUUGUAGUCCAGAUUGGAGUCUGCAACUCGACUCCAUGAAGUAGGAAUCGCUAGUAAUCGCGGAUCAGAAUGCCGCGGUGAAUACGUUCCCGGGCCUUGUACACACCGCCCGUCACACCAUGGGAGUUGAUUGCACCAGAAGUGGAUAGCUUAACCUUCGGGGAGGCGUUCACCACGGUGUGGUUGAUGACUGGGGUGAAGUCGUAACAAGGUA